AGUGAAAUGGUGUAUUUGUAUUUUUCUGUUAUUUGUGUUGUCUACUACUCUUUAAUGUGAAUGCGAUUCAUUACAUGGUGAUUUUUAUCAUUUUUUUUUUUCGUAGAAUUCUUCAUUUCUAGAGUUAGAGUAUGGGUUCUUCUAAAAAACACAAGGAAAAAAAAGAACGGAAAAAGCAUAAGAGAGGACGUUCUCGUUCUCGUGAAAGGGAUACACAUAAGAAAAGCCACAAGUCUAGCCAUAGGAAAGAAAAACGUCGUAGCCCUGAAAAUUUAUGUCCUGAACUCGAAUCUCAGGCUUCGAAUGAGAGAAAACGUUAUUUUUCAGGGGAUGAAGAACAUUCUCAUCGGGACUAUAUGCACACUGAGAAAAUUGAAGAGGAAAGAAGUCGAAAUGCAUCCCCUGAUGAUGAAUUUGAUAUUGAUAAACUGCUAGAUUCAAAACUUUUGGAAAAUUCAGAAUUCGCUACAAUUUCGAAGCGCUCAUCAAAGAAACGCCGUCGUGAUAUAGAUAUUGGGGAACUGAAAAAACGUUUGAAAAUAAGUAAUGAAAAUGAAGACUCUUUGGAAAAAUUUGCUAACGAACAGUUUAUGGAAGAACAUGGGUUAGUAGCAGGAAGUGCGGAAAAGCAUAUUCGAUCUCCUCAAUAUGAUUCCUUAUCUCGAGAUAAAUCGGAAAAAAUUCCUUUCAUUAGUGACACAAAAAUUAAAGAAGAACCUCCUGACGAAGACAAUGUUGAUCCAGCAUAUGAAGAACACACUGAACCUCAAUUAUCUUUAAGCAUUGCAGAAACAAACAAGUUACGUGCAAAACUAGGUUUAAAGCCAUUGGAUGUAGGAAAUGAGAUUCCAGGUCUGGAUCAGGACAAUGCCGAUAAGGAAAUUAGUAAGCCUGCAGAAGUUUUUGUUAAAACUGAAAACAUCAGUGAAGUUAAGAAAUCAGAAGCUCUCCGGGAAAAACUAAAAGUCGUAAAAGAGAAGAGACUGAUAGAAGAAAAACUAAGAAAAACAAAAGGGGUCGCUGAUUCUGAUUCUGAGGAGGAAUCAGCAGCUGCCUGGGUUAUUAAACAUCAGAAGAUGUUGCAAGAAAAAGAAAGAGCUGAAAAGAGAGCUAAAAUGUUAGAAGAAAUGGAUGAAGAAUUUGGAAUUGGUGCUUUAGUAGAAGAAGAAUUUGAUAAGAAGAAGGCAUAUACAUCUCAAGAUUUGGAAGGACUAACUAUAGGUCAUGAUGCCGAUGCUUUUAAAGAAGGUCAUCAAGUCAUCUUAACACUAAAAGAUAAAGGUGUUCUUGAAGAGGAUGAAGAUGUUUUAGAGAAUGUGAAUAUUGUUGACAGUGAGCGAUAUGCUAAAAAUGUCGAAAAUAAGAAGAAGAAACCAGAUUAUAGGCCAUAUGAAGAGCCUGAAUAUGAUGAAUUUGGAAUUCUGAAGAAAAAGAAUUUGCUUUCUAAAUAUGAUGAAGAAAUAGAAGGGGAGAAAAAGAAGGCUUUCAAAAUUGGUACGGUUAAUAGUACACCAUAUAUUAGCAAAGAACAGGAAUUGGAACUAAUAAGGAUGAAAUUAAAGCAACAACAUGAGGUAUCUUUAGAGAUGCCAGAAAUGAAAAAAGCCAAUGAAUAUUACACAACUGAAGAAUUGGUGCAGUUCAAAAAGCCAAAGAAGAAGAAAAAACUGCGCAAGCCCUCCAUAUUGAAAGCAGACGAUCUUCUAGGAGAUGUGAUGGAUGAUGGAGAAAGUGAUUUGGGUUCAAGGAAAAUGAGAAGACAAAGGAUUUCUGAACCAGAAGAGACAGUUCAAGAAACAAGAACUGAAAUACCAUUCCUUGAAGAAGAAAAAAUGGAUGAUGCUUCAGAUGUAGUUAUAGAUGAAGAUUUAGCUGAAAAAGAGUUGAGCAAUGCCUUGAAUAAAGCUAGAAAACUUAAGGAAAGAAAGGUUAUGUCAACUGCACCUGAAAAGGUUAUUGAAAUUCUUAAGAGUGUUAAUGGAAGUGGCAUGGAUUCACAUGAAGAUUCUAAAAUUGGAAAUAUUGAAUUAAAUUCAGUAGCUGAAUUUUGUAGAACACUUGGUGAAAUUCCUACAUAUGGCAUGUCUGGUAACAGAGAUGAAGAAGCAGAUGAAAUGAUGGACCUAGAACGGGAACUUAUGGAAGAACGACAGAAACAAGAAUUAGAAGCUCAAAAUCGUGGUGCGUGGAAUGAAGUAGAUCUUGAUGAAAAACCAGCUGAAAUAUCAGUAAGGGAAAAUGAGCCAAUUUUAGAAGAAGAACCCGAUAUAAGCUUAGGUGUGGCUGGAGCCCUGAAACUUGCAAUGAAAAAAAGGUUAUUUAGACAAAGAAACCAAAAAAGUUAGCAGUGCACCUAGAACUAGUCAGUUGCAAGCUCAGUCAUACACUAUUGAAGAAAAAUUUUAUGAAGAUGAUAAGUUUGGCAAGAGAGAUAGGUAUACUGGGCCAGUGCAAGAAUUUCGUGAGAAAACAAAUUACAAACCAGAUGUCAAACUUGAGUAUAUAGAUGACAGUGGACGCUUGUUAACUGCAAAAGAAGCUUUUC
rnacentral:misc_RNA from 1 species